CCUGUAGAGAUGAGAAGCUAACAUGUAAGAAGAAUCCAUAACAUGGAUACUUUGAAGAAAUGCACAUGUUACUUUUGGCUUUGAAGCUUC